rnacentral:rRNA from 1 species
UACAGAGGUCUCAAGCGUUGUUCGGAUUCAUUGGGCGUAAAGGGUGCGUAGGCGGCACGGUAAGUCGGGUGUGAAAUCUCGGAGCUUAACUCCGAAACUGCAUUCGAUACUGCCGUGCUUGAGGACUGGAGAGGAGACUGGAAUUUACGGUGUAGCGGUGAAAUGCGUAGAUAUCGAGAGGAACACCUGCGGCGAAGGCGGGUUGCUGGGCUGAUACUGACGCUGAGGCGCGAAAGCCAGGGGAGCGAACGGG